CUUGGUGGUUAGAGCGAGGUGGCCCCACCCGUUCCCAUCCCGAACACGGAAGUGAAACGCCCCAGCGCAGACGAUACUGAGGGGACAACCCUUUGCGGAAAAUAUGCCACUGCCAGGA
rfam:Chloroflexi bacterium RBG_16_50_11 RBG_16_scaffold_64195, whole genome shotgun sequence.